UUUUGUUUUAAAGUGCAUGCGUUUGUUUUUACGUAAGUAACCGCCGGUCCAUUACGGGAAAAUAAUGAACCGCUGAAAGUGCUUCUCAGCCAAUCACAGUCCGCCAUCUCACCGGAAGUGAUGCUUGCCAUAUAAUAAUAAUUCGUAAUCUUUUUGGCAAAUCAUGUGAACCGUAAUAUGUCACGUGAAAUGGCUUCAUACUGAAUAAAAC